AGCUGCUGUUUGCUGAAUCAAUGGGCUCCUCCUACCAUGGGACACAUCAGUCACACGACACCAGGAAGUGAGUGGCAGGGAUGGACCUGACGAAGGUGGGCAGCAUCUUGAUGGAGGCGGUGGGGCUGGUGUCACGGCCGAGCCCGUUCUCCAUUUCCCUGCGGAACCGGUUCAUGAUGUCCUUCAAGGUAUCAUCCGAGAAACGCAUGGAGUACAGGAGUGGCAUCUUGUAUAGAGGUGGGAGGUAGAUGAUCUUCUGGACUCAGUUCAUCAGGACCUCACAGUAAGUGC